AGAGUUUGAUCAUGGCUCAGGAUGAACGCUGGCGGCGUGCUUAAUACAUGCAAGUCGAACGAAGCUCCUUAUCUUCGGACGAGGAGUCUUAGUGGCGAACGGGUGCGUAACGCGUUGGUAACCUGCCCCAAAGAGGGGGAUAACAGUUCGAAAGGACUGCUAAUACCCCAUAAGGUCAUCAGGGUUAGAUACUUGAUGAUUAAAGGAGUAAUCCGCUUUGGGAGGGGCCUGCGUCCCAUCAGCUAGUUGGUAGGGUAAUGGCCUACCAAGGCUAUGACGGGUAGGGGACCUGAGAGGGUGGCCCCCCACACUGGCACUGAAAUACGGGCCAGACACCUACGGGUGGCAGCAGUAGGGAAUAUUGGUAAUGUGCGAAAGCGCGAACCAGCAACGCCGCGUGUGCGAUGACGGCCUUCGGGUUGUAAAGCACUUUUUAAGGGGAUGAGGAAGGACAGUACCCUUAGAAUAAGCCUCGGCUAACUACGUGCCAGCAGCCGCGGUAAAACGUAGGAGGCGAGCGUUAUCCGGAUUUACUGGGCGUAAAACGUGUGUAGGCGGUUUGAUAAGUUGGAUGUGAAAGCUCCUGGCUUAACUGGGAGAGGUCGUUCAAAACUAUCAGACUUGAGAGUGGUAGAGGGAGGUGGAAUUCCGCGUGUAGUGGUGAAAUGCGUAGAUAUGCGGAGGAACACCAGUGGCGAAAGCGGCCUCCUGGCCCAUUUCUGACGCUCAGACACGAAAGCUAAGGUAGCAAACGGGAUUAGAGACCCCGGUAGUCUUAGCUGUAAACGAUGUGAACUUAGUGUCGGUGGGGUUAAAUCCAUCGGUACUGAAGCUAACGCGAUAAGUUCACCGCCUGAGGACUACGGCCGCAAGGUUAAAACUCAAAGGAAUUGACGG
rnacentral:rRNA from 1 species